GAGUUUGAUCCUGGCUCAGGCUGAACGCUGGCGGCGUGCUUAACACAUGCAAGUCGAGCGAUGAAGUUUCCUUCGGGAAACGGAUUAGCGGCGGACGGGUGAGUAACACGUGGGUAACCUGCCUCAUAGAGUGGAAUAGCCUUCCGAAAGGAAGAUUAAUACCGCAUAACGUUGAAAGAUGGCAUCAUCAUUUAACCAAAGGAGCAAUCCGCUAUGAGAUGGACCUGCGGCGCAUUAGCUAGUUGGUGGGGUAACGGCCUACCAAGGCGACGAUGCGUAGCCGACCUGAGAGGGUGAUCGGCCACAUUGGGACUGAGACACGGCCCAGACUCCUACGGGAGGCAGCAGUGGGGAAUAUUGCACAAUGGGGGAAACCCUGAUGCAGCAACGCCGCGUGAGUGAUGAAGGUUUUCGGAUCGUAAAGCUCUGUCUUUGGGGAAGAUAAUGACGGUACCCAAGGAGGAAGCCACGGCUAACUACGUGCCAGCAGCCGCGGUAAUACGUAGGUGGCAAGCGUUAUCCGGAUUUACUGGGCGUAAAGGGAGCGUAGGCGGAUGAUUAAGUGGGAUGUGAAAUACCCGGGCUCAACUUGGGUGCUGCAUUCCAAACUGGUUAUCUAGAGUGCAGGAGAGGAGAGUGGAAUUCCUAGUGUAGCGGUGAAAUGCGUAGA
rnacentral:rRNA from 1 species